GAAAAAAGAUAAGGGAAAAAGCAGACCGAGGCGUAGAUUGGAUACCAAACUAUUGGAAAGCAGUGGAAACCAACUCGGGAUAUCGGGAAUGAGGAUGCAAGAAAAUGCACAAACUCCCAUAAUGGUUGAUCAAGAAAGUGGACAACAAGAUGUGAUGGGGACACCAGAAUGUGUACAAACUCCAGUGAUAGGGACGCAAGAAAGUAUGCAACUAGGAAUGGAUGGAA